GCAUUUUUAAUGAAUGUACUGUUAUUUUGCAGUGGGAUAUUUGUGUGCCUUUUGAUAUCAGAAAUGUGCGUAAUUAUUUGAUGGCUUUUAGACUAUUUGAUGAUACAGGUCUUAGUCUGGUUAAGACAAAUCAUCUCCAGUUUACAGUGCUAGAAUUUAAUUAAUUUGUACACUCCACAUGGAAUUUGGAGGAGAAAAUCCUUCACGUUAAUGGGCUAGUUUUCCGUUUAUUCAGUUCUAGGAAAUAUUUCACAUUAUACGCCUUCCUGCAACAGAUCACUGCAAGAGAGGUUGUGAUGGCUGUAACCAAGGUUCGCAUCCUGGAGUAAAGUGUGUUUGUAAUGAACCUGGUCUGUCUAAAUGGAGCAGCGAUGAGGGAGGCAGUGGAGAAUUUGUUCACAUUCCGGUGACACGGCUUGAUCUCCUCUGUGCUCUCAUUUCCAACGAAAUCUUAGAAGCUGAUAAGGGCUUGUCACUAAUGAAAACUUUGGCUGAAUUGGAGGGAACUAGGAGCCUAAAGAAAGUCGGAGACAGAAAUUCCUACAAAUGCAAGGCCAUAAUUGCUUAAUUGGGACUGACACAUCUCUGUUUGGCUUUCCCAGCACUGCAAGUCUGGAUAUUUAGCACUGGGAAGUCAAAAUGCCUGGAAAAAAAAUAAAUAUCCAGUCUUCAAAUAUCUGGUCUGCA
rnacentral:lncRNA from 1 species